UGAAUACGAGACGCUAAGGCGUCGAAGUAGUGUAUGUCAUACUUCCAAGAAAAGCUUGCACUGUCAUAGAUAAAAAACGCCUGUACCAUAACCGACACAGGUGGGUAGGUAGAGUAUACUAAGGGGCGCGAGAUAACUCUCUCUAAGGAACUCGGCAAAAUAACUCCGUAACUUCGGGAGAAGGAGUGCCUUAUUCGUAAGGUUGCAAUAACAAGAUCCAAGCAACUGUUUAUCAAAAACACAGGUCUCCGCUAAGUCGUAAGACGAUGUAUGGGGGCUGACGCCUGCCCAGUGCCAGAAGGUUAAAGAAGUUGGUUAGCAAUUGCGAAGCUGAUAACUGAAGCCCUGGUGAACGGCGGCCGUAACUAUAACGGUCCUAAGGUAGCGAAAUUCCUUGUCGGGUAAGUUCCGACCCGCACGAAAGGCGUAAUGAUUUGGAUACUGUCUCGGAGAGGGGCUCGGUGAAAUAGACUUGUCUGUGAAGAUGCGGACUACCUGCACCAGGACAGAAAGACCCUAUGAAGCUUUACUGUAACUUGAAAUUGAAAUUGGACUUUAUUCGCGCAGUAUAGGUGGGAGGCGUUGAUUAUAAUCUUGUGGGAUUAUUGGAGCCAUCAGUGAGAUACCACUCUUGUAAUGUUAGAUUUCUAACUUUGAAUCAUUAUCUGGUCAAAGAACAGUUUCAGGCGGGCAGUUUGACUGGGGCGGUCGCCUCCUAAACGGUAACGGAGGCGUACAAAGGUUUCCUCUGAACGGUUAGAAAUCGUAUCUAGAGUGUAAAGGCAUAAGGAAGCUUGACUGUGAGACCUACAAGUCGAGCAGGGACGAAAGUCGGUCUUAGUGAUCUGACGGUACUGAGUGGAAAGGCCGUCACUCAACGGAUAAAAGUUACUCUAGGAUAACAGGCUGAUCUCCCCCAAGAGUUCACAUCGACGGGGAGGUUUGGCACCUCAAUGUCGGCUCAUCGCAUCCUGGGGCGGUAGUACGUCCCAAGGGUUGGGCUGUUCGCCCAUGAAAGCGGUACGCGAGCUGGGUUCAGAACGUCGUGAGACAGUUCGGUCCAUAUCCGGUGUAGGCGUUAGAAUAUUGAGAGGAGCCUUCUUUAGUACGAGAGGACCGAGAAGGACAUACCUCUGGUGUACCAGUUAUCGUGCCAACGGUAAACGCUGGGUAGCUAUGUAUGGAGUGGAUAACCGCUGAAAGCAUCUAAGUGGGAAGCCCACCUCAAGAUAAGUAUUCUCA
rnacentral:rRNA from 1 species